rnacentral:lncRNA from 1 species
GGCUUGUGAUUUUAUUGAGAAAUUAAUCACACUUCCUCUUCACAAUUGACAUAAAACACUUAAGUUCUUCUUACCCUUCCGGAGCACCUGAGAUCACCCCUAGUUGUUGGUGGGGUUCGUGUUGCUUAGUUUUUAGUUUUCUAUGUUGCGUCUUGUGUACUAUUAUUUGCCUGCCUUUUUCUUUUUUAGCCAUGGCGUUGUCAGUUUAUUUUCGAUCUAUUAGUAUGACUGUCCCUCUUGUAUCUUUCGUCCCUCUUUUUAUAAGUUUUCAAGGUUAAUUAAAAACUUAAUUUCGAAAUCUUACCGUAAAGAUACAGCAAAAAGAAAAUAAAUGAGUUCUGUUCAGCGGUUUUUAUUUUGUUGAUUGGGGUGAAGGUAGGAAACCUUGUUCUUAUAAAUGGGUAGCAAUGCUGUCUCAUUCACGUAUGCUUGAAAUUAUACGUGUUCAUUAAGUUUCUGUUAUAUUUUUUUAUAUGCCAUGCAACUGUCUCUAUUUUGAACUUAUGAACAUUGACAUGUAUAUCGUAAUCUUUUAUAAAAUUAAACACACAAAUGAACAACAGACUGAGUGAAUUUGGAAAUAUC